UCGCCCGCCGCGCGCGGCGGGCGGGGCGGGGGCACGGGGGGCCUACGGGAGGCAGCAGUGAGGAAUAUUGGGCAAUGGGCGCAAGCCUGAACCAGCCAUGCCGCGUGCAGGAUGAAUGUUCUGUGAAUUGUAAACUGCUUUUCUAAGGGAAGAAACCUAUCUACGUGUAGGUAGUUGCCGGUACCUUAGGAAUAAGCAUCGGCUAACUCCGUGCCAGCAGCCGCGGUAAUA
rnacentral:rRNA from 1 species